CAAGAUCACGAAAUCAGCCCCCAAAGAGGCUGAUCGGACAGCAGUAAAAACAGGAGGAAAACAUCUCCAAUCUUCUUCUUUUCUUUUGAUUCUUGACCAUCAAAGGCUUCUUUCAGCCAUGAAACACCUCAAGAACAACCAUGGAAUGGAGACCCAACAACACCCUCAAUCUUGUUCUUUUCAUCUUCAAAGGGAUAGUCUUGGC